GGUCGAGGUUGCUUUUUGCUGUAGUAGGUUUUCCAACAGCCCCGUACUCGGCAAGCCUCUCGCAGCCCAGCCUCAGCGCCCGAGCCCGCCAGUGGAGGGGACGCCACCAAAGCCCCGCGCGCCUCUCCCGCUCGCUGGCUCUGCUUCUGCGUCUCUCUCGGGGUUUCAAUUCAUGUUGCUGGCUCGGCGGGGAGGGGGAGGCGGCGGCUGCUGCUGCUGCACGCUCAGUCGCCUCGGGCCUCCCGCCCCCGCUGCUCCCAAGCGAUCCCCGGACUGCUCCGAAGGCAGAGGGCGUGAGCGGCUGGGCGGCUGAGCAGGCGGCCAAGGGGCUGGGGCUCAGCCACUGUCUCCCCCGCCUUCACGGCAGCUCCCCGAGCUCCACGCUUGUCUCUUUCUCCCGCACGGCCGGGAGCCUGGCGGAAAUGACGAGCUGCAAAUAGCUGAAGGAAAAGGCGAAGCCGCCCGGCUCCGCGCUGGGGAGAUGCUGCUUCGCGAGGCGGCAGCAACAGCAGCAGCAGUAGCCGCCGGGGAAAGGCGAAAUCUCACGUGCGUGGGGCGAGCUGCACCCGCGCAGCUCCAGUCCCCGGCGCAGCGCGCGCGCACUCCCCGCCCGGGCCGGCGCUGGGGGCGAGGGGGCGGCAGUGGUGGGAGCCGGAGCGCUCCCGAGCGAAAGGCGCGGGAGGCGGCCGCGCAGGGCACCUGUUUCCACUAGUCCAACUUCUGAGCGCGAGGCGCCGGGAGCGUCUGGUUAGUUGAAAGGUGAUCUUGGGUCCAUCCAGGAGAAGAAAGGACUCAUCCUCCUCCCACCCGAGUGCAGAAUUCCCUAUAUACCCAGCACCACCCAAACAAAACCAGGAUGGGAUGGCAGCAGAAAGAGACCUCUACUGCGGUGGCAGGGUGGUGUAGGUGUGCUCCUCCUAAUCAACCCAUAUGCAGGAACCCCAGCUCCAAGGAGAUAGUAACUCUCCCAACCAUUUCUAUGCUAAGGGGUGAGAAAGAAAGUGACAGUUCAAAAGGAGAAAAUCUUAAGCAGACUUCAUGCCUGACACAUCCUACUACACUUUGCAAAAAUUACCAUAACUACCUCCAAUAAUUACAGGCUAUAUUCUACACAAAUGUAUAAAGCAACAUGAAGAUAUCCCGAUUUCCAUGACACCUGUCUCUUCAUUAGCAGCAAGAAUCUUCUAUAUAACUGCCAAUAAUCCUGGAGAAACUAGAAGGGCUAUAUGGUAUGAAUGUGUCAUUUACACAGUUAUCAUUUGCUCAAGGAAGAAUUAAAUCAAUUUGUGAAAGCCAUGAUGUUAUAGGCUCAUAUACAUACAUCUGAAAGGUAUAAAAGUCUUAGGGAUGUAGUCUUAUUUUGGAUAUUUUGUCUGAGCUCACAUCACUGCACAUUGUAUUGUAAACACAGCUACAGCACAAAUAUACACCAUGGGAGUAAAAAGCAAUUUUAGAAGAUAGCUGAUGACAUUAUACCUUGUAUGAGAUCAUAAUUAAACCAUUAGUUUGACCAGAUGAUCCAGUAUUGCUAUGAGAAAUGAGAUUAGAGUCUGAUGUAAUCCAUUCAAGUGGAAAGAGUUUGUUAAACUGAUUGCAGUAAAAUAAGAUUUUUUUUUUCUGGGCUGUUUUUCUGUUGAGUUGGACAUAUGGAUUUCAGGAGACAGAUGUGGCUAAAAAUUCUGAUCACUGUAUCUAUGGGCCAGAUCUGCAAAGAUGGGAACUGUUGGGAAAUUGGCCCUACAAAUUUAAUUUAGUUGUGAGAUCAAUAUGGAAGUGCAUAAAAUGUUAAAAUAACCUAUAAUAACAAAUGUUUACAGAAUGUUAUAAACAGAUGCAAAAGAACCAAACAGAAAGACUAAAUUAGUCCAAACAAAAAGGCCAAGUUGAAUAAUUUAAGGACUAUGUUGAAAUCAUGCUUGGUAAAAACAGAAAAUGUGGAACCAGAAAUUAAUUAACCAAAGUGUGUUGGAUAUUAGGCCAAACUGGUGGACAAAAUAAUGAGGGGAUGAGCUAUUCCACCCUCCAUUCCCUUUGUGGUUCCUUAAGAAAGAACAGAUGGAGGAGAAAUACAUAUGGAGGCUACUGGAAUAAGUUUCACCAAUAUGGCUGCUACUCCAACUGCCUCCUGAGACCCCAGGGCCCAAAGAGAGGGACUCAAAUAACAUCGCCACCUCUACCAGCUCCAGCUGAAUCCCAACUACCACCUGAGGUGAGAUAGGAUUGAACUUUAACAGCAACAGCUCUAGCCCAUCUCAACUAACUUCUCUUUUCCCCAAAAGGACAAUUACCAUCUUUGGUACCAUUUAAGAGACUGGAGGGUUUUCUUCCUAAAACUCUCUCCAGCUAAAGGGAAAUGGAACAAGAAGUGUUCUUAAAAUGAAAACCUUAUGUUACAUUUCAAAUACUUUAAUGGUUUUCCCUUAGUUUCUGUAUCUUUAAUAAAAGGUUAAAAGGGAUUUUUAGUGGUGUGUUAACCAUGGUACUAAGCAGCCUGAGGUCUCUGUAUACCAAAUCCCAAACCUUGUUUAACCCAGUCACUGUCCAGCAUUAAACAGUGUUAUGUUAACACCUUUGACCCAGUUAUUCCAUCUAAAUUAAUACAAGAGAAUCUUUGUUAGAUUGUUUCUUUUUAUUCAAUCUAUCUUAUAAACUUUCAUAAAGUCCUGGUAAAAUACAGUAAUAGCAUCUCCCUGCCAAUACUUUUGCUACUAACACAAUACCCUCUGCAGGAUUUGUUGCACAAUCAAUAUUGCCUCUCUUGAUGUAUAUUAUAACUUUCCAAAUCAUUUAUACCCUCUGGAUAAUUUCUGUUUCAAGUAUCUUCUCCAUGGAUGGUGUAAAGCUUAUAGGCCUAAUGUAUCCAGGGAUAUUUUAAAUACAUAUGUUAAACUGUUCUCCAGGCCAGUAAUACUCGUCCCUUUUUCCAAAUAGAUUUAAAGCACACAUCUGUUAGGCGAUUACAUAAUCUUUAGCUAAUUCUUUAAUAAUUUUGGAAAGGCAUUACAAAAUAUUUGGUUGAAACUUAGAGCCUGGGAGGUGCUGCCGGCCCCCUGCAAAAUGCUGACUGCCUUCCACUCUCAUUGAAGGGUUGCAUACAGCUGCUAAAUCAAAAUGGGAUGAAUUUACUAUACAUCAGCUUUUUGUCUUCCUACCUUUCUAAAAUGUCCUUUGAGUCUAUGCGCUAUUAAUCCCCUUGACCAACAGCAUACUGAAUUACUCCACUGGGCCAAAUUCUGCUCUGAGUUACAUCUGUGUGAAUCCAGAGUAACGCCAUUAACGUCUGUGGACUUUCAUUGGUGUACAUACAGAGUAUCUAAAAGUGGAAUCUGGCACAUUGACUUCAACAGAUUUAUGCUCAUAUAGCAUCAGAAUAGUGACAACAGAAUUAGGAUCCCAUUGUGCAUCGGUGGUUGUUAAUACCAAAUGCCUUGAAGUUUGUUUUAGAGACUUUAGUUAGCACUAUAGCAGUCCUGCCACAGUAGCCCUUAAUGUUUUUUUUAGAAAUUGUUAUACUAUUUUUCAAUUUUGAAACUUUGACCUUUCUGUACAGGAUGAGAGAUAUAGCAGAAGAAUAAAUUGUUCUGCUUUUUUCCUCCUAAAAGUCAAUUAAUUAAGUUUGUCACACUGUAUCACCUCUCUCUCUCAAACAGGUCAAGUCUUUCCAGAGAAACCAAGCCAAUACUGAGAAACAUAUGUUGAAAUAUUUUGCAAAU